rnacentral:rRNA from 1 species
ACGAACGCUGGCGGCGUGCUUAACACAUGCAAGUGGAGCGACGAACCAGGGCUUGCCCUGGGGCAGAGCCGCGAACGGGUGAGUAACACGUGGGUAACGUGCCCCGAUGACUGGGACAACCCGGGGAAACCCGGGCUAAUACCGGAUGUGCCCCCUCACAUCAGUGAGGUGUGUAAAGGAAGCUUCGGCCUCCGCAUCGGGAUCGGCCCGCGGCCCAUUAGCUUGUUGGUGAGGUAACGGCUCACCAAGGCUGCGAUGGGUAGCUGGUCUGAGAGGACGAUCAGCCACACUGGGACUGAGACACGGCCCAGACUCCUACGGGAGGCAGCAGUGGGGAAUCUUGCGCAAUGCGCGAAAGCGUGACGCAGCAACGCCGCGUGGGGGAAGACGGCCUUCGGGUUGUAAACCCCUUUCAGUUGGGACGAAGGUCGGGCGGUUAACAGCCGUUCCGGCUGACGGUACCUUCACAAGAAGCCCCGGCUAACUACGUG